AGGGAAUUCCCCUUCAGUGGUGUGAUGAGACUGGCAGCCUUUUGAAACAAAGUCCUGCUCACUCUUUUGUAUGCUAAGUCCAGCUGUUGGGCAGUUUGGUUUGGUUUGCAUGUUCAUUUGGAGGCGAUCACUCGGUCUCGCGUGUGCACUGUCCGUAUGUGGGUCUGUUUCUGGAGCUUGUUAUGUAUCUGCGUUGUGUUUGUGGGGUGUGUGCUCAAGUAUUAACUCGGUAAUGCCUUCUAAUGGUAGUGCUAAUUACAGUAGGGUUAUUUAGCAAAUUAAGUGAGACUGUGCACCCCCCUUGAGCACCAAAUGAACUUUUCCAAACACACACGCGCGCACACACACACACUCACACACACACACACACACACACACACACACACACACACACACACACACACGUUAAUUUUGGUAUGUUUCUCUCGCCCAAUCACUUUGCUGGAACUAAAACAUGCCUUACCUCAGAGCAGUCAAUUACCAAAGCUACCCGUGAUCAUCAAUCAUGGGGGAUGCUUGAAGUUUGGGGGAGGAGCGAUGGUCAAACUAUCGAUUGCUGCAGUUUUGUCCUGCCCCCCCCCUUCUCGUUCACGGUCCCCUGCACAUAAAAUCUAAAACAGACUAUCCCGUUAAUAGUGGGAUUUAUCAAUGAUUAUGUACCCAGUUGUGAAUGUGGCCUCAUGCAUAGAUGCCUUUUAAACAUACACCGCAAAAAAAAAAGUAUUUGAUUUAGCCAGGGCUUUUUAUUAUUACUAUUUUAAGAUUUUUGGAAAUUGGAAAAAAAAUGAAUCAAAGGGUAGUUAUAGAAAUUUGGCCAGAUUUUAAUGGGCAUACGGAAUGAGCUCCAGAGGUCAAUAAACCCCUCCAAAAUGAUGAAUGAUUGAGUACCUGUGAUGAUGAUAGUGAUUACCGGAGCAAUUAAACAGUUUGAUUAAAUGAGCCAUCAUAACAAUGAUGUCUGCGGGAAAUCAGCCCUCACAUAUAAAGAAAGAUAGUGUGGAGGGCUGACAACGCCAGUGGGCAUUCCUACGUGUUCCGAUAGUGUUGAGCCCUGCAGAGCAGAGUGUAUUUACAAAUAUGAGGGCAAUAUGGAGAAAAGUCACUCAGAUACUUUUAGCCAGAGUUGCACCCUGCUUAAAAAUCGUCAGAAGCCGAAGAGCAGACCCGUUUUUUUUCCUAGAGGAUCUCCUCCAAGAUUAAAGCUAGCCCUAAGAGCAACCGAUAUUCUGUGGCUGACUUUCACGGGACUGUAAAGAAAAGGGUCCAUGGUUCACUGGUGUAUUGUUAUUCCCUGAAAGGUUUCAGCAAGAUGGUCCAAAAUAACAUCACAGUGUAAAGAAUAGCCUUGCUACAAAAUGACCACCAUAAGAUGGAUGAAGAGGAAUGGCAUGAGACAAGAAAUCUCAGGACAUCACCACAUUCACCAGCAAUUUCAGACUAAGAAAGUCUAGGUAGCUGUAGUCGCUAUGUAUUAUACCAAAACUGUACAUUUUAAAUAGUAAACAAAUAAAUAAAUACAUAGAACGCCCCCCCCCCCCCAAGGCUGUGAUGAUGUCAAAGACCAGGGACAGAGAAUGAAGCCACUUUGCACUUCAGAGCAAACAAUCAUGUUUGCAGUGCCUGGACAUUGCACUGAACUUCCACUUACCAGCUUCCUCUAUUUACAGUCACCAGAUGAAACUCAAAGGGUAAAACACAUCUGUGGUGUAACUUCACCAACUUAAGAGGCAGAGAGAGAGAGAUAGCCCUGUGAGUCUGAAAUUAGGCAGAAGGUGGGGUAGGGUGGCACCCUUAAGACUAACUUGUUCAGAGAGGCUUGAACUUUUGCAGACUACAGCCUACUUCAUCAAAUGCUAUGAAUGGAUUCUGGAAAAGCAGGCUGUAGCCUAUGCUUCUCUGAAUUACUUAGUGUACAAUCCUGCCCAGGCUUCUGCUUGACUUCAACCGAGUUACAGAUUAUGCUAUUAUAAUGAUGUUUGUAAUCAUUUUCAUGCACAAGGUAAAGGAACAAGGGGCUGACUUCUACUAAUCCUGUACAACCUCUGCAGAUCUGUCUGAAAACUCAACUACUAAACAGCAGGAUACUCGCAAUGAUAAUCUGUCUCCAAGUUUUGCAUCUCUUCAGAAAAUCUGUGAUACAUAUUGAAAAUCUUCAGUAUUCUGGGGUUCAAACCUAGGGCAAAAGUCUCAUUGGUUUAAAUACUCCUUUUGCCUCAAUGAGGAAUCCAGGAUAGGCUUCCUUUUACCUGAUCCUUCAGUAGUCUAAGCACAUUCUCCAAAGUGCUGAGCCCUCCCAGUUCCCACUGAUUAAAUUGACCAUGCAGCAUCUUGAGGAAUUCCCCAGCAUCUCAAAAGAUAAGGCCCUUAAUAAUGCUUUCAAUAUUUCUCAUCUUUUUAUGACACUUUUGCAACAGGAUCUCUCAGGUUCUGAAGUACAUUGCACAGACUACUGUUUAAAACUGUUUUUCACCUCUGCCGAAAUAGUUUUUUUUUACUGAUGAAUACUGAUGAAAUAUGAUUAAACAACAAAGUACUAAUAUGUUUCAUAUAAAACAAGUAUAAACACAUAUCAUUACCUCAUAUGCAAUUAUAGACUGUCACUAAUAGUUCUAUUGAUUGGUGGCAUAAAUAGCUCUAAUACAAGCUGUUCUUUAGAAGAGAUAAAUAUAAAUACCAAUGAAAGAGCGUAAGAAGUGUUUGUCCUGUAGUUUUACCUUGAGGCUGUAUUAUGAUCACAAUAAGACAUAUCUAGGCAUGUGUCAUACUGGAUAAUACUAUUUCUUGGGUGUUUGAGGGCACAUGGCUUUACCUUGUACUUCACAACAGCUGAGACAUGCCAUUUAGUCGCAUGAUCCUAGAUCUGCUGGAAAAAAAAUAUUAAGCUAUAAAUAUACCAGAAAGGAAUAUAUUUAUAGUUAGUUAACAUUAAAUACUCCACAACAUUAUAUUUAUGUAAUUAGAAAACAAAGUUAAAAAUAAAUGUUUUCAAA